GCAAUGCUUGCCAAGGUGUAACUGAAAUCCUGCCUGCUUAAGCAGUGCUCUCCAGCCAAGUGCAGCCAUGGGGCCUGCCAGCCUUGCUCUUGCUGUCUCCAGGGACCUGGCUGUCAGCAGCCCUGGAGCUGGCUGGUUGCUCAGAGAGGCACCAAUGGAGCUUGGAUGGGCACUGCCUUGCUGGGAUACCAGCCCCCAGGAGCACAUCCCAGCACUCCCUGGAAGGCUGAGGAAAGGGCAGGCACCAUGAUCCAUGCACCUGGCAAGGAAAAGAAAAUUCCAGAACAAAGGGACACUGCUGGAUGCUGCUCAGGACCUGCUUGGAUACCUCCCUCUCUACAGCUCCCUGAAAGGAGGCUGGAGCCAGGUGCCAAGGUGAUUCCAGGAGGUGAAACUUUGAGGAAGCCACCAACUCCUUUAAAGAAGACCUCAGGCAACCCAGGAACUUUGGAGGCUCCACUGGGAUGUUGUGACUGAUGUGCCAAUGUUUCUCCAUCCUCACUGUAAAGAAACUCUUCCUAACUUCCAGUCUCAACCUCCCAGCUCAAAGCCAUUGUCCUUCAUUCUAUCACUGCAAGCCCUGGCCAGAAGUCCCUCCCCAGCUUUCUUGUAGGUUCCCUUCAUCUGAAGGGAGGCUGUAGCCAGGUGGGGGUAGGUCUCUUCCCCCAGGCACCCAGUGAUAGAACAAGAGGACAAAGGCUCAAGCUGUGCCAGGUUCAGGAUGAGUGUUAGGAAGAUCU